CACAACACCGCGUUCUUCUUCUCAUCAGUCAGUCAAACUCAAAACUCAACACCAUGACCCCAAAAUCCCUCUUCUUCUUCUCCACCACCCUCGCUCUUCUCAUCCUCCUCAUACCCAUCUCUGCCCAAAUCUCCGACCCGAACCGGAAACCGACCCAAUCCCUAUCCGCGGCCCACACUGAGCUCACCAACUAUGGCUUCCCAGUCGGACUCUUACCCUCCUCAGUCCAUGGCUACUCCAUAAACAAGACCUCCGGCGACUUCUCCGUCGAGCUCGGCGGCGACUGCAAGAUCACUCUCCCGCCGGACAACUACCUCGCCACCUAUUCCAGGACAGUCAGGGGAAAGAUCGUUUCAGGUAAGAUCGCUGAGCUCGACGGGAUUCGGGUCCGUGCGUUGUUCAGGUGGUGGUCCAUCACCGGGAUCCGAUCCACCGGUGAAGACUUGGUGUUCGAGGUCGGCAUGGUCAGCGCCAAAUACCCCUCCAAGAACUUCGACGAGAGCCCCGAUUGCGAAGGUAAACACUCCUCUUCGUGAGUGAGCGAGUGAGGUAUGAAUUCAAAUCCCAAUUCAAUUCGCUCUUAAUUAGGGUUUUGAAUUGAUCAGAGAAAUUCGAGACUAAAGUAUGUGUUGUGCGUUAUGAUUAGUAUUGAAUUAACAUCUCUGAGUGAUAAUUCUUAAUUAGUAAUUAUUGAUUUAAAAUAUAAAAAUUGAUUGAAUCGAAUUGUGCUCUAUGUAUCUCGAUUAUUCCUGAAUAUUCUGUAUAGCACGAGCAAAAUAAAAUAGUUGCUGUCUUUUUUGAUUUUGUUUUAAUUUUAGUUUACUAGGCAUCUGUUUGUAUCGAAUAUGUUCUUUUCCAGAUUAAUUCCCUCUAAGGUAUUAGCCCAAACUGCCGACUCUUCCAAAGAAGUUUGAUUAAAACUGCCGACUCUUCCAAAGAAGCUGAUUGAUAUAAAGCUUCCAAAGUAUUUUCACGAUCAGACAAACUUAACCAAAUUGAGCAUCUGUUUGGGUGUGGAGGAAAAAAACAAUGGAAGCACAAUCAAUUGUGAAGGUUCCUUUUAGAUACCUUUGUUAAUUUGCUUUGUUGAUUUGCCAAUUGUGAAUUACUUUAUGUUAUUUCUACUAAGAUUUUUCUAUGGUAUUCUAUUUUAUUUCACUUUGUUGCGGGUUCUUGCAUUUUUCUAUGGACAGUCAAGUAUUUACCUUUCCUUUAUUAUGUACGGCUCCAAACAUUAAUCGUGUAUUGGACAUAGCUCAAGAACACAGUGUGAGCAGCUACACGUUGCAGAGAAAUCGAGGUAUCCACAAGCCAGUCAAAGUUGAUGACAGCCCUUCAAUGAUAGCUGAAAAUGGUGUGAGUAGCUCCAGCUUGUGCGAGCAUGAAAAAGUAUUGCAGGCACUGCGGAUCGCUCAUGCAACAGCAGGAUAUAUUAAUGCUGCGAUGCAGAGAGCUCCCAGGAUCUCAGGCAGAGUUAUUCAAGCACAGAUGGAUACAGCAUUUACUAAUUCUAAGAUGCAGAGAAUUCGUGGGAACUCAGGCACAGUUAAGGUGGAGAGAGAUGGAUUUCUCAACAAGUCAGAAGACAAAGCUGGCAGAACUUUGAUGAUAGCAACAAGCAUGGAUCCUGAUUUGUACAAGGCUAUAACAGAUAGGGACAUUGAUUUAAUCCAAAAAAGAAGGCAUGAUAUGGAACUUUCUCCUCUCUACGACAAAACCCCUGAAUUGAAUACAAUCCUUCAUCUUGCUGCUGCAAGCUCAGACGAUGAAGAGUUUGUACAAGCAAUCCUCAGGAUCCAACUGUGCCAAAAAUUUGUCACAGAAAAGAACUCCAGCGGCAACCUUCCUCUUCAUGAAGCAGUAAAUGCUGGCCAUCUACAUAUAGUGAAACUUUUGGUCAUAUGGACUUACCAGCAGCUGCAAGAUCACUCUACUGGACCAUUGAGGGAGAAAAAUAAGGAGGAUAAUACUCCUCUUUACCUGCCCUUAAUUAACAAAUACCAAGCUGUGGGUUGUAACUUGGCCUUGGAAUCCAAGUACAAUGAAAUGGCCAAGUUCUUUGUACUUGGAUUGAUUUAUAGUUUUGGAUUGAUUUAUGACUAUUAUGCUACUAUUUUAAAGUUGAGUAUGGACAUUUUUAGUAAUGUUCACUUUCAUUAAGUGUUGUUUCUUUUACAUGUA